AACGAACGCUGGCGGCGUGCCUAACACAUGCAAGUCGAACGUGAUCCGGAGCUUGCUCCGGUGAAAGUGGCGCACGGGUGAGUAACGCGUGGAUAAUCUGCCUGGUGAUCCGGGAUAACACUUCGAAAGGGGUGCUAAUACCGGAUAAGCCCACGGAGUCCUUGGACUCUGCGGGAAAAGGAGGGGACCUUCGGGCCUUCCGUCAUCAGAUGAGUCUGCGUACCAUUAGCUAGUUGGUAGGGUAAAGGCCUACCAAGGCGACGAUGGUUAGCCGGUCUGAGAGGAUGAUCAGCCACACUGGAACUGAGACACGGUCCAGACUCCUACGGGAGGCAGCAGUGGGGAAUUUUGCGCAAUGGGGGAAACCCUGACGCAGCAACGCCGCGUGAGUGAUGAAGGCCCUUGGGUCGUAAAGCUCUGACAGAGGGAAAGAAAUGUGGGUGGCUAAUAUCCAUUCCACUUGACGGUACCCUCAAAGGAAGCACCGGCUAACUCCGUGCCAGCCGCCGCUGUAAUAC
rnacentral:rRNA from 1 species